AUACGGAGGGUGCGAGCGUUAUCCGGAUUUAUUAGGUUUAAAGGAUGUGUAGGCGGGAGCCUAAGUCAGUGGUGAAAUCUCACAGCUUAACUGUGAAACUGCCAUUGAAACUGGGUUUCUUGAGUAUAUUUGAGGUAGGCGGAAUGUGUAAUGUAGCGGUGAAAUGCAUAGAUAUUACACAGAACACCGAUUGCGAAGGCAGCUUACUAAGCUAUUACUGACGCUGAUGCACGAAAGCGUGGGUAGCGAACAGGAUUAGAAACCCUUGUAGUCC
rnacentral:rRNA from 1 species